GACGAACGCUGGCGGCGUGCUUAACACAUGCAAGUCGUACGGUAAGGCCCUUUCGGGGGUACCCGAGUGGCGACCGGGUGAGUAACACGUGAGUAACCUGCCCACAACUUUGGGAUAACGCUAGGAAACUGGUGCUAAUACUGGUUAUGUGUUCCUGCUGCAUGGUGGGGGUUGGAAAGCUCCGGCGGUUGUGGAUGGACUCGCGGCCUAUCAGCUUGUUGGUGGGGUAGUGGCCUACCAAGGCGGCGACGGGUAGCCGGCCUGAGAGGGUGACCGGACACAUUGGGACUGAGGUACGGCCCAGACUCCUACGGGAGGCAACAGUGGGGAAUAUUGCACAAUGGGCGCAGGCCUGAUGCAGCAGGGCCGCGUGCGGGAUAACGGCCUUCGGGUUGUAAACCGCUUUCAGCAGGGACGAAGCUUUUUGUGACGGUACCUACAGAAGAAGCACCGGCUAACUACGUG
rnacentral:rRNA from 1 species